AACGCACAUUGCGCUCUGGGGUAUUCCUCAGAGCAUGCUUGUUUGAGAACCGUGAUUAUCUAUCAAGUAUUCUUGCUAAUCUCCGGAUUGCGGGUACUUGGAUUUUGAGCGUUCUAGUUUCCAUACUGAAGGAACAUUGACGUCGCUCCAAAUGCAUCUGACUUACCUUGGUUCCUGAUUCCUGUCAACUUUGGUUGAUGUUGUGAUAAGGCAGUCACCGACGUGAUAAGCAUGGGUAACUAUGUUAGCGUCAAGAUGGCUGUUCCAUGGGAUGUCAUCCUGCUAGCACGUUCUAGCUUGUAUUUUAACAAUGGUCUCAAAUCAAGCAAGAGGACCCGCUGAACUUAA
rnacentral:misc_RNA from 1 species